rnacentral:tRNA from 1 species
GAGGGUAUAGCUCAAUGGUAGAGCACAUGCUUAGCAUGCAUGAGGCCCUGGGUUCAAUCCCCAGUAUCUCUA